UAGGGAAUCUUCCGCAAUGGACGAAAGUCUGACGGAGCAACGCCGCGUGAGUGAAGAAGGAUUUCGGUUCGUAAAACUCUGUUGUUAGGGAAGAAAAAAUGUAUAGUAACUAUAUACAAAAGAGACGGUACCUAACCAGAAAGCCACGGCUAACUACGUGCCAGCAGCCGCGGUAAUACGUAGGUGGCAAGCGUUGUCCGGAAUUAUUGGGCGUAAAGCGCGCGCAGGUGGUUUAGAAAGUCUGAUGUGAAAGCCCACGGCUCAACCGUGGAGGGUCAUUGGAAACUAAUAAACUUGAGUGCAGUAGAGAAAAAAGGAAUUCCUAGUGUAGCGGUGAAAUGCGUAGAGAUUAGGAAGAACACCAGUGGCGAAGGCGGCUUUUUGGCCUGCAACUGACACUGAGGCGCGAAAGCGAGGGGAGCAAACAGG
rnacentral:rRNA from 1 species